CUGGGAUGGUGAGGGAGGCCUACCUUGAACACUCUGUAGGGUUUGGACUGUCAACAUCAAGUGAAAUUUCUCAAGAACCAACAGGAUUGGGGUAAGAAAGUCCCUGCUGGCCCAUGCAGGCACAGGCAUGCACACUGGGGCUGAGGAGAAUUCUGGAAUCAAGGUGGGUCUGCGUGCCUCAGUGAAGGAGCUUGUCAAGUGGCCCCACCUUGUAUGCGACUGGGCUUGUGUCCUCCGUUUCUCACACUCUUUUAGCCUUUCUUCCCGUCACAGCUGUGACUUGCUCGGCCCAUCAGCCCCACCCUCCCCCAGCCAUGUGUAAUUAGAACGGUUUAGCCAAGUUCCCACCCAGGCUGCUUAAUUGAG
rnacentral:lncRNA from 1 species